GGGAAAGAGGCCCUGGGAGCCAGGAAUGCAGGGCAGAUCAGAGCGAGCCAAACCAGGAAUGGAAGUUCUCACAGUCACUACUGAGCCCAGGGACAGACCAAGAUUCCAAUACUUGGUUACUAUUCCUGUGAUUAAAUACGAUGCUGUGGGUGUAGCUCAGUGUGGAACAUUCGCCAACAUGUACAAGGCUCUGGGGUUUGAGAAGAAAGGAAAAAGGGAGCAAGAAAUUCAAGCUGAGAUGUAGGUGAGUUGGUGGUACUCUGUUGGCCAGAAGGCUAAGUGCCCUGACUGGAGCUUGCAGAGAGAGGCCUCAACCAAAUCUGUCCACGCCACUCAUCUGCCUUGUUUCAGCUACAGGCUGACCCCUGUAGUGGGGGAUGCAGUGGAGGAAGAUGGGUCUGACUGUUAUCAGAAUGUGGUGAAGACGGGGUAGUAGUGUACCCCAAUUGGGUAGAGAAGGACAAACUUAUCAAAACACAAGAAAAACACUGACGUGCUAAGAAGAGAUGCCACUGGAUUUAAAAUGAAGCGUCACAGAAAGUCUUGUGUGCAGGAACAGUGUCAUUGAAGGACUAGCAGAAGAUCUAACUGCAAGCUAGACAGUGGUGAACAGGACUCCAGAGGGAUAACCAAAGGUAAAUGAAACAUUGGCCUCACACUGAAGCAUAAACCAGGCCA
rnacentral:lncRNA from 1 species